UGAUCCGUCGUGCCAGCAGGGCGCGGCGGCCCGGUUCCUGCCCUCGGCUCCUUGCUUCGGGCUGCACUCCCGUGAGGCGGGGCAAGGUCUCCCGAGGGUGAGCGUGAGGAGAUGGGAGCGUUAGUAGGGCGCUGGUCACCUUGUGGGGCAGUGCUCUAGCAUGGAGGACCGCAGAAUUGGCUGGAGAUUGCAGUAUGCAAACUGGCCCAUUCUGUUUGCUUCUAUCUUACCGCCAAGGAGUGAGGACAGGGGAUGUCACCACAGCUGGAACUUAAUGAAGCCUUGCUUUGGGUUUAUUCCUAGCAAGUAGUAGAAGGGAGAAGCAGCAGCACUCGUGAGGAUAGAACUAUUACCCUAUGCUGCAGAUGGCUUAUAAAAACAGCUGUGUGGAAGGCAAAUCUCAGCUCAGCUAAGAAGAAUGUCUGUCAAAACACGGCUUCUCUCACAGCGUGUGGAUGCUAGUCAUGUCCCAGUGUCAACAUUUGAGAACGGCUGCACGUGAAGUAGACUUAUUUGGCAGCCACAGUUAAUUUAUUUCAUCUCAUUAGUCUUUAAAUAGAGGCAGCAGGACCUUAGCUCUGUGCGCUAAAGCAGGCUGCUUGACCAGACACCUCAGGAACAUGGUCCUGUGAGUGGAUCUGCACAUUCCCUUUGCCUUCAGGCUGAGCCAGGAAACUCACCACGGGCCCUACCUGAGCUCAGUUUCCAAAAGCAUUUGAUAUGGUGGGUUUGAAAUAACGGAAGCCUAAAAUUAUCACAUUUUAAUUUGGAUGUGAUGCAGGAGUGCUUUCUGGAAGGACUGCCCAUUGCGAUAACCAGUCUCCACUUCCAUGUAUGGAGAUCAUGGCAGUGAAAUUAUAUGCGCUCCUGUUUGCCAUGUCACAGGGUUGAAAGCGUAGACAUUCGGCCCAGAAAAAGAAUUAGCAAGAGUGGAAAAAACGCUAUCUAUUAGUAUAAGGGAACUGAAAACAAACUAGUUACAGGCCUAGGAAAGCUGUACUUGUCUAAAACACUCUUCCCAGAGCAAAAGUCUUUACAAAUCUUUGUAAAUAAGAGCAGUAAAAGGAGGCAGCAGAACUACCACCAUGCCAGGAAGAAUGAGGAUCAAUUUCAAGUGGAAAUUUUGGUGUUUGGGAGUUUUGAUGUCAGUAUCUCAUUACUGCCUACUCCCUUCUUCAAAAGCAGUUGAAGGGGAGCGGUGGGGGGGAGGGACGGACUGAUACAAGGUCAGUCCCAGAGACAAUAAGGAGCAGCUGUGAAAUGAAAGUGGAAUGAAUAUUCACAGGGUGACGUUACAGUUCCUGACUCGAUGCUGCUGCUCCUCCUGUGGGUCCUGCCAGCACAGCAGAUGGCAGACACUGAGGGACUGUUUUGCCAGUGGAAAAUUACUGAGUUUUGCUGGUCCUGCGUAUGGGUGUGUGAGGGGCAAAGUGGGCUAUCCACAUGGAAGUUUCUUUCACUUGCAGUGGAAUCACCUCCGUUGUGGCUGAAGUCAAGGGGUACCUAACAUGAAUACAGUUAGGCAUACCCGAAGCCCUUGAUGGUCUGCACACUUAAAGAAAGCAACAACCAAAUACUCAUCAUGAGGUGAACCAUGGCAGAACCACUGUGCAAAUGACUGUGCAUUUCUUCCCCAAACGAAUGGGGCAGAGAUAACAGAAAUACAGAAAGUUUUCACCAAAACUGUGAUGCAACCUAACAGUGCUUGCUCAAUAAUUUAUGUAUGUGUAUAUUUGUGAAGUUAGCUCUUCAUUUAGAGGUAUAAGAACCUAUUCACUGUGUGGAAGAAUAUCUCUAAAAGUUGCCAGGCGGUGGAUUUAGUAGGCAUUUUGAAACAAAAUCUUUCUUCUAACUGUGUGCUUCUGCAUGCUGCGUGAUUUCUAAGUCCUGCAUGCCACAACAAGCAGUGUGAGAUUCUGUGCCCUCUGCUCAGCUGAUUCUGGCUGCAGGAUGAAGAUACACCCCGGUGUGCAGCAAUUAAAGGCAAAUACAAAAGCUUAAAUGCUGCUUGUCAAAUUCCACGAAUCUCUGAAGCCUUAACCCCUCCAGCUCCUCAGCCCACCAAAAAAAAAAUAAAAUAAAUAAAAAAAAAUCUAGGAAAGAUCCGUAACAAAACAGUAUAAUGCUCUCAUUAUUGUAAUUCAAAAGAGGGAUAUCAUAUCUGUGAAUGGACUUUUGUUUGAGAUUUGACAUAAAUUGCUGUCUUCUGCAAUCAAUUGGUGUAACAAAAACCAGUUGUUAUAUCAGUCAUGCUGCAGUUUCUCUCGGAAGGAAAGUUCUUCACUAUGAAAAAUCCUUCUCAGCAUCAGAAACACGUUUAAUUUACAUUUAGUUUGCAAAUAGCCAAUCAAUGCAACAUUUAGGAAUCAAUUAUGAUUUUUCUUUCUUGCUUUCUUACUAUUUUGUCUGUAUUUCUUCAAAAGAAGCAAAACAAUGCUAAAGAUUUUGCGACUGAUCAAGAAACAAUGCUUUACUAGGUAAACAUAAUGCAGAUCAUGCAGAAACAUUCAGACUGACUUUCUGGUGUCCGUAAUACUUUUUUUAGCUACUUUUGAUAGUUUUUAAUAAUUGUUUAAUCUGGAGAAGAGGAGGCUCAGGGGAGACCUUAACCCUCUCUUCAACUACCUGAAGUUAUGGCAAGGUGGGUGUCAGCCUCUUCUCCCUUGUAACUAGUGAUAGGACUAGAGGAAAAGGUCUCAAGUUGCGCUAGGGGAGGUUCAGGUUGGAUAUUAAGAAAAAUUUCUUCUCUGAAACAGCGGUCAGACACUGGUUAAGAAUGGGCUGCCCAAGGAGGUGGUGGAGUCACUGUCCCUGGAAGUGUUCAGGAAGUGUUUAGAUGUGGUACUAAGGGAUGUGGUUUAAGAAAUAUUGGGGAAAAUAUUGGUGUUAGGUGGAUAAUUGGACUGGAUGGUCUUUAAGGUCUUUUCCAACCUUGGUGACUCUAUGAUUCUAUCUUCUCUGAAACAUUUCCUUAUCUGGUAUGUUACGGGAAAGUGAAGAGACCAGCAUUUCACUAUUUGUGGUGCGGGUGAACUUAUACACAGGCAAAAAUUUCUUGCCUUCCAUCUUAAUUUGAAGACAGAAUGCACUCUUUGCUAUGUCUGUUAAAACUCAUAACAGACAUGUUAUGUUUUUAGUGAAAUACUUUUCAGAGGCAUUUGCGACAAUCCAGCUCUGUUCAAUACAACCAACUACAGGCUGUUGCUGUCUCCACUCACUUUCUUAGAAAAUUCUAAUUUCUACUUCCCUGAAAGCCCAGAUAAUUUUCUUUACAUUAAUAACACCUAUGUCACUGAGAAACUAUUUUUGUUUCCACAUGUGUAGUCUAAGGAACAAAACAAUUCAUUGAGCUGAACAAAAUCAAGAAAGUCCCCUUACAGACUGUCAGUUUGUAUCCUGAAUGUCUGAAUGAAUUACAACUGUUCUUUCAAAAACAGUAUUUUGCCAAUUU